ensembl:lncRNA
GACUAACAUGAGGGGCUCAUGAGCCCACCUCAUCGGGGACAGUGUGGCAGCGCCGGAUUGACUGGAUGGGCCGGAGCCCUGAGCACCUGCAGCCCACGGAGGGAGGACUCUAGGACUCAUACCUCCUUCCAGCCACCCUGUUCUGCAGCGGAGCCCUGAAGCUCAGACGACCAUGCCUCCCUCUCAGGUCAGUGCAGCAUUUCUAAUCUUGCAAGUCAGGUCUCCCCGCUCCCUCCCCAGGUACCGCUGUGGGGAUGGGACACGCACAUGCACACACCCACGGGGCUUGCAGAGCACCAAGGAGCCAGCUGGGCACUGCCCGCACAUUUGCACAGGCUCCGCUGGGUCUGCUCCAGUCUCGGCCCUGACCUGCCUCCAGCCUCUUUCUGUAGCUGAGGGACCAAGUUCUGCCAGAAGUCAGGGGCUUGCCCAGGUCUCUUACCCCAGGAAGCUGGACUCAGGCCCGUGUUUGUGGCUCCCUUCUGCACAGAAGUUGCGUGAAGCUCCUUUUGCAAGGAGCCAUCUGUCUCGGGAGUCCACGGUGGGAGAGCUCGGGCCAGCUGCUGGGGACUGCUCGGGAGUGUCUUCGGAGUGCACAGAGCUCAGGGGCUCAGCAGGUCAAGAAGUGGUGCUGAUCUGGGGGCUCCUGUCCACAGUUGGCCUUCCUUGCAGUGAAUGCACCCUCACAGUCUGGCCUGCUCUUUCCUGCCCGGCCUGAGCCCACAGGGUCAUUGCCCUGCCAUCCUGCGGGAGACGGGUGCGCAGGUCUGCAGCCCCAGCCUCAGUGUGGGUGCACCCCAGGGGGGCUCGCAGGAUGGCCAGGAUGGCUCCUGGCGCCACCGCACGCCUCUCCGACCGUCCUUGCUCCAGAGACUUCAGAGCAAGGAGGGACGUGGUCAGAGCUGUGUCUCUCCUGUUCGUCUCCAGGUCCUGCCACCAGACGUGGGGGUCCCUAGGCAGGGAUCUAAUGGUCCCACCGCCAAACCUCUGCCCAGGCUGUGCCCUCUGCCCGCAGCUGUGUCUCUCCUCCUCCUGCCACCCUUCAGCAGGUUCCCCCAGUGAUGCCCACAAUGUGCAUGUGCUGCACUCGUGACACCAUCCCCUUUGACGGUUCCCUCUGGCCUCCGCCACGACUGGCCGUGGCCCAAAGGAGAUGUGAUGUGCUCUGUUGCAGAGUCUGGAUGAAAGAGGAGUGCUCAGCCCCGACCUGCUCUGCACGUGAGGACUCUUCUGUCCCUGGGGCCCACCGUCCAGGUGCCCUGCUUGCCUUCAGGGCCCUUUGGGGCCAGCAGUGCUCGAGGUAGCCCCUUCUCUGCCCAGCCAUGAACCAGCGCUUGUGUGCAGUCCUAACGCACCCAGGACCGGUCCUCGACAUGAGAUGCCGCACGGUGAGUCUAGCCUAGAACAAGAACAAAGGCCCAGUGAAGAAAACUAGGGCACCUGGGCCUGUCCCAGGCUGAGCUGGAGGCUGCGGGAGGGGGUGCUUGUGGUGACAGCCAGUGCGGAGCACGGUGUGUGUCUCCUUCUAGCCUCCCCUUCUCUCCCCGUCUCUCCCCACCGUGGGGGGACCAGCACAUGGGCUGGCCUGAUGUACAGUCUGUGUCUCCAGCUGGGGCUGGAAGGGGUUAGCACAGAAGGCUUCGAAGCAAAAGCCCAGGCCUAGGGAGGACAGGCGGGUGCAGAUUGCAAGGCAAGGGGUGUCGGAGUCUGCGCAGUGG